CCUACGGGAGGCAGCAGUGAGGAAUAUUGGUCAAUGGACGAGAGUCUGAACCAGCCAAGUAGCGUGAAGGAUGACUGCCCUAUGGGUUGUAAACUUCUUUUAUAUGGGAAUAAAACGUUCCACGUGUGGGAUUUUGUAUGUAUCAUAUGAAUAAGGAUCGGCUAACUCCGUGCCAGCAGCCGCGGUAAUACGGAGGAUCCGAGCGUUAUCCGGAUUUAUUGGGUUUAAAGGGAGCGUAGGUGGAUUGUUAAGUCAGUUGUGAAAGUUUGCGGCUCAACCGUAAAAUUGCAGUUGAAACUGGCAGUCUUGAGUACAGUAGAGGUGGGCGGAAUGCGUGGUGUAGCGGUGAAAUGCUUAGAUAUCACGAAGAACUCCGAUUGCGAAGGCAGUUCACUGGACUGCAACUGACACUGAGGCUCGAAAGUGUGGGUAUCAAACAGGAUUAGAUACCCCUGUAGUC
rnacentral:rRNA from 1 species